UACGUAGGGACCGAGCGUUGUCCGGAAUCAUUGGGCGUAAAGAGCGUGUAGGCGGCCACUUAAGUCCUGCGUGAAAUCUUGCGGCUCAACCGCAAGCGGUCGUGGGAAACUGGGUGGCUAGAGUGCGGGAGAGGAGAGUGGAAUUCCUGGUGUAGCGGUGGAAUGCGCAGAUAUCAGGAAGAACACCCGUGGCGAAGGCGGGUCUCUGGGCCGAUACUGACGCUGAGGAGCGAAAGCGUGGGGAGCAAACAGG
rnacentral:rRNA from 1 species